AGACCGUACUUGAGGUGGAGAGAUUAUAUUCUGUGAUACCAAAAGGACUGAUAAAGGCGAAGGCUGUCUUUUAUGUAAUAACUGACGUUGGAGGACGAAGGCAUAGAGAACGAACAGGAUUUGACACCCUAGUAGUCUUUGCAGACAAUGAUGAAUGCCAUGGACUAGAUAAAGCAUUAUGCGAUAAAUUUAGUCUAUAAAUGAAAAUGAAAGCAUUUCACCUCAAGAGUAAUGUGGCAACGCAGGAACUGAAAUCACUAGACCGUUUCUGACACCAGUAGUGAAGUAUGUUAUUUAAUUCGAUGAUCCACGAAAAACCUUACCACAACUUGAAUAUCUAGUAAAUAGAUACAGGAGUUGCACGGCUGUUUUCAGUUAAUGUUGUGAAACUGUGGUUUUUCCAUGAAAUUAACGGAAUCCUUUGCUUUAUUUAUAGAAUGUUUUAUAAAGCAAUCUUUCUUUAUAGCGGAAAAGAUAAGAAGGAAAAAGACAAGUCAUCAUGGCCCUUAUGUUGUGGGCUAUAGACGUGCCACGUAGUCCUUAACAAAGAGAUGCGAAAAUGCGAAUUUUAGCUAAUCUCAAAAAAGAGGAUAUAAAUUAUACAAGGAUUGUAGUCUGAAACUCGACUAUAUGAAUAAGUAAUUACUAGUAAUCGUGAAUCACCAUGUCACGGUGAAUUUAAUCUCGGAUUGGUACUAACCACUCGUCGC